rnacentral:rRNA from 1 species
GCUGUCAGCAUUGUAUACUGCUAUUAGCGGCGGAGGGUGAGUAACACGUGGGUAACCUGCCUGUAAGACUGGGAUAACUCCGGGAAACCGGGGCUAAUACCGGAUGGUUGUUUGAACCGCAUGGUUCAAACAUAAAAGGUGGCUUCGGCUACCACUUACAGAUGGACCCGCGGCGCAUUAGCUAGUUGGUGAGGUAACGGCUCACCAAGGCAACGAUGCGUAGCCGACCUGAGAGGGUGAUCGGCCACACUGGGACUGAGACACGGCCCAGACUCCUACGGGAGGCAGCAGUAGGGAAUCUUCCGCAAUGGACGAAAGUCUGACGGAGCAACGCCGCGUGAGUGAUGAAGGUUUUCGGAUCGUAAAGCUCUGUUGUUAGGGAAGAACAAGUACCGUUCGAAUAGGGCGGUACCUUGACGGUACCUAACCAGAAAGCCACGGCUAACUACGUGCCAGCAGCCGCGGUAAUACGUAGGUGGCAAGCGUUGUCCGGAAUUAUUGGGCGUAAAGGGCUCGCAGGCGGUUUCUUAAGUCUGAUGUGAAAGCCCCCGGCUCAACCGGGGAGGGUCAUUGGAAACUGGGGAACUUGAGUGCAGAAGAGGAGAGUGGAAUUCCACGUGUAGCGGUGAAAUGCGUAGAGAUGUGGAGGAACACCAGUGGCGAAGGCGACUCUCUGGUCUGUAACUGACGCUGAGGAGCGAAAGCGUGGGGAGCGAACAGGAUUAGAUACCCUGGUAGUCCACGCCGUAAACGAUGAGUGCUAAGUGUUAGGGGGUUUCCGCCCCUUAGUGCUGCAGCUAACGCAUUAAGCACUCCGCCUGGGGAGUACGGUCGCAAGACUGAAACUCAAAGGAAUUGACGGGGGCCCGCACAAGCGGUGGAGCAUGUGGUUUAAUUCGAAGCAACGCGAAGAACCUUACCAGGUCUUGACAUCCUCUGACAAUCCUAGAGAUAGGACGUCCCCUUCGGGGGCAGAGUGACAGGUGGUGCAUGGUUGUCGUCAGCUCGUGUCGUGAGAUGUUGGGUUAAGUCCCGCAACGAGCGCAACCCUUGAUCUUAGUUGCCAGCAUUCAGUUGGGCACUCUAAGGUGACUGCCGGUGACAAACCGGAGGAAGGUGGGGAUGACGUCAAAUCAUCAUGCCCCUUAUGACCUGGGCUACACACGUGCUACAAUGGACAGAACAAAGGGCAGCGAAACCGCGAGGUUAAGCCAAUCCCACAAAAUCUGUUCUCAGUUCGGAUCCAAUUCUGCGAUUCGACUGCGUUUAGCUGUGUUCGCUUAUUCUUCGCGAUUCCGCUGGCGUAACCU